rnacentral:tRNA from 1 species
GACGGUUUGGGGAUGAUACGCCGCAUCGCAUUCGUAAUGCGGGGGUCACAGGUUCGAGUCCUGUAAGCGGCACCA